rnacentral:rRNA from 1 species
CCUACGGGUGGCAGCAGUGGGGAAUAUUGGGCAAUGGGCGCAAGCCUGACCCAGCAACGCCGCGUGAAGGAAGAAGGCCCUCGGGUUGUAAACUUCUUUUAUUCGGGACGAAACAAAUGACGGUACCGAAUGAAUAAGCCACGGCUAACUACGUGCCAGCAGCCGCGGUAAUACGUAGGUGGCAAGCGUUAUCCGGAUUUACUGGGUGUAAAGGGCGUGUAGGCGGGAGAGCAAGUCAGAUGUGAAAUUCAAGGGCUCAACCCUGGCACUGCGUUUGAAACUGUUCGUCUUGAGUGCUGGAGAGGCAGGCGGAAUUCCGAGUGUAGCGGUGAAAUGCGUAGAUAUACGGAGGAACACCAGUGGCGAAGGCGGCCUGCUGGACAGUAACUGACGCUGAGGCGCGAAAGCGUGGGGAGCAAACAGGAUUAGAUACCCCAGUAGUC